GAUUGUAAACAGACUGAUGUUAGUGCUGACUGACUCAGAAGUUACAUAUUCAAUAUAGCCUACAUGACUUUUACUGUUAUAGCGUUGUUUAGCGCGUUAUGAAUGUGCAAAAUGUCCACAUAAAUGUAAGUGUAACUAGAAACUUCCUGGCAGAUGUGUUGAAUCAAGUUGGAGCUAAACUGUGCUGGACACCGGCCCUCCAGGACACCCCUGGUGUAGGGGAUAUACAGUAAUAUGGAGUUUAUAAAGUACAAAAAUUAUAUUGAUGGACAGUCCCCACAAAACAUGGAAACAUUUAGUAAAAUCAGCUAUAUUUUUAGCCAUGUUAUCAUAUUUAAAGCUGAUUUAUAAUCUUAAACCAAGAUAUAAAAUCAAGUAUUAAUUCUAAUAAAUUUGUGCUUAAGAAAGCCUCAUGGAUAUU